AACGAACGCUGGCGGCAUGCCUAACACAUGCAAGUCGAACGAAGGCUUCGGCCUUAGUGGCGCACGGGUGCGUAACGCGUGGGAAUCUGCCCUUUGGUUCGGAAUAACAGCUGGAAACGGCUGCUAAUACCGGAUGAUGACGAAAGUCCAAAGAUUUAUCGCCAGAGGAUGAGCCCGCGUUGGAUUAGGUAGUUGGUGGGGUAAAGGCCUACCAAGCCGACGAUCCAUAGCUGGUCUGAGAGGAUGAUCAGCCACACUGGGACUGAGACACGGCCCAGACUCCUACGGGAGGCAGCAGUGGGGAAUAUUGGACAAUGGGCGCAAGCCUGAUCCAGCAAUGCCGCGUGAGUGUUGAAGGCCCUAGGGUUGUAAAGCUCUUUUACCCGGGAAGAUAAUGACUGUACCGGGAGAAUAAGCCCCGGCUAACUCCGUG
rnacentral:rRNA from 1 species